AGAAUUUAUAGGAUCGAGGCCUUUCUAUCUAG
rnacentral:tRNA from 1 species